rnacentral:rRNA from 1 species
GAAUUUUAUAUAGUUAAUUUGUUUGAUUAAGUUAGUAGGAUGGAGUUAAUUAUAUUUGGUUGGGAGGAUUGUUAAAUUAAAAAAACUUUAGUUAAGUUAGAAUAUAAAUUAAUAGAUUAAGGAAUGGUUAAUAAAUUAAAAAAGAAUUAAUUACCUUAGGGAUAACAGCGUAAUAUUUUUAGAGAGUUCAUAUUAAUAAAAAUGUUUGC